rnacentral:lncRNA from 1 species
UACUGAUCUAUGUAUCAAUAAACCAUGAUUGGCAUAUUCAAGCAAAUGAUGCGGUUACUGGAGAAGGAUUGUAUAUUUGUAUGAUAGUUUGGUGGAUUGCCCAGCAAGUUACCGGUAAAGCUACAAAUUUAAAUGAAGAGAAAAACAGAGUAUUCUUCUUUGUUCCUUACUCUAAAUCCUUAGCUAGAUUUCAUCUUCUUCACCGUGAAAGAUGGAUGACGUUGAGGUCAUAAGAGUAUCUCCAACCCAUGACUUUAUUUUAAAGGGAACAAAACUUCAAAAUAAGGAUUUGAGGGUUGAUUGCUCCAACCAUAAAUUCUCAAAAACAAUCUUUAAAAGUUU